rnacentral:sRNA from 1 species
CUGCUGCAGAAGGAGGUGGGAGAGGAAAACAUCAGACAAGCAGAACCCUUAAAGAGAGCAGGGUUAGGAGUCAGGGAGAGGAAAAGGGACCCAAGGGGCCUGGGACUAGCUGAGAAAGGCUUAGGAGGCCAGAAGAGAGAUCAAAGACGCUGGCCUUCAGACCUGAUCAGACUCCCAGGGCGGGCCACCACAUCUAUGACAGAGGACAGAGGAUGCCUCUUUUUGCCCCAAAGCUGGAAAUUCAUCACAACCUGAGGCCCAGGAUCCGCUCUGUGCCGGUCCUCUGGACAGUGUGGGGUGCAGAGUGGGGUGCCUAGGCCUGAGCGCUGCCUGAAGCCUAGGCCGGGGGCCGCCCUCGGGCAGGCGUGGGUGGGAGCCAAGCCCGCGUGGGCCGCGGGGUGCUGGUAGGAGUGGUUGGAGAGACUUGCGGAGGCGGCUGGGGUGUUCGGAUUUCCAAUAAAGAGACAGUGUGAU